GGGGGACCUUCGGGCCUCUUGCCAUCGGAUGUGCCCAGAUGGGAUUAGCUAGUAGGUGGGGUAACGGCUCACCUAGGCGACGAUCCCUAGCUGGUCUGAGAGGAUGACCAGCCACACUGGAACUGAGACACGGUCCAGACUCCUACGGGAGGCAGCAGUGGGGAAUAUUGCACAAUGGGCGCAAGCCUGAUGCAGCCAUGCCGCGUGUAUGAAGAAGGCCUUCGGGUUGUAAAGUACUUUCAGCGGGGAGGAAGGGAGUAAAGUUAAUACCUUUGCUCAUUGACGUUACCCGCAGAAGAAGCACCGGCUAACUCCGUGCCAGCAGCCGCGGUAAUACGGAGGGAGCAAGCGUUAAUCGGAAUUUCUGCGCGUAAAGCGCACGCUGCGCUCCUC
rnacentral:rRNA from 1 species